rnacentral:rRNA from 1 species
UACGUAGGGCGCAAGCGUUGUCCGGAAUUAUUGGGCGUAAAGAGCUCGUAGGCGGCUUGUCACGUCGGGUGUGAAAGCCCGGGGCUUAACUCAGGGCUUGCUUUCGAUACGGGCAGACUAGAGGUAUGCAGGGGAGAACGGAAUUCCUGGUGUAGCGGUGAAAUGCGCAGAUAUCAGGAGGAACACCGGUGGCGAAGGCGGUUCUCUGGGCAUGAUCUGACGCUGAGGAGCGAAAGUGUGGGGAGCGAACAGG